rnacentral:tRNA from 1 species
GGUGGCUCAGUGGUAGAGUGCUUGCCUCGCAUGCAUGAGGUCCUAGGUUCGAUUCCUCAGCACCA